rnacentral:rRNA from 1 species
GCGAGCGGCGGAUGGGUGAGUAACACGUGGGGAACCUGCCCCUAAGUCUGGGAUACCAUUUGGAAACAGGUGCUAAUACCGGAUAAUAAAGCAGAUCGCAUGAUCAGCUUUUGAAAGGCGGCGUAAGCUGUCGCUAAGGGAUGGCCCCGCGGUGCAUUAGCUAGUUGGUAAGGUAACGGCUUACCAAGGCGACGAUGCAUAGCCGAGUUGAGAGACUGAUCGGCCACAUUGGGACUGAGACACGGCCCAAACUCCUACGGGAGGCAGCAGUAGGGAAUCUUCCACAAUGGACGCAAGUCUGAUGGAGCAACGCCGCGUGAGUGAAGAAGGUUUUCGGAUCGUAAAGCUCUGUUGUUGGUGAAGAAGGAUAGAGGUAGUAACUGGCCUUUAUUUGACGGUAAUCAACCAGAAAGUCACGGCUAACUACGUGCCAGCAGCCGCGGUAAUACGUAGGUGGCAAGCGUUGUCCGGAUUUAUUGGGCGUAAAGCGAGCGCAGGCGGAAAAAUAAGUCUAAUGUGAAAGCCCUCGGCUUAACCGAGGAACUGCAUCGGAAACUGUUUUUCUUGAGUGCAGAAGAGGAGAGUGGAACUCCAUGUGUAGCGGUGGAAUGCGUAGAUAUAUGGAAGAACACCAGUGGCGAAGGCGGCUCUCUGGUCUGCAACUGACGCUGAGGCUCGAAAGCAUGGGUAGCGAACAGGAUUAGAUACCCUGGUAGUCCAUGCCGUAAACGAUGAGUGCUAAGUGUUGGGAGGUUUCCGCCUCUCAGUGCUGCAGCUAACGCAUUAAGCACUCC